GAGUUAGCUAUAGCUACUGAUAUGCUACAAGCACUCUCUUUACUCCUCUCUUCUCCUUCCUUCGUUGACCCUUCCUGUGAGCUCCGCCUUUUUGAACAGUCGCUUUCUUCAACCUUGUCUCUCCUUAUUCUUUUAACCCUUCAAACAUGUUGGUCCGCUUCAGCUUUUGUCAGUGCAAUCUUUGGGAGUUGAUAUAUGGGGGGUGGAGGGAGGGGUUUCAGAGAGUUACAUGGCAUAGAUCUGCAUAAGAACAUCACGUAUCUGUGAGGCAUUUACAUACAAAUCUUUGUCAAUUUUGCAUUUUAUAUCUCUAUUUUUUAUUUAUUUUUUUUGUUUGUUGGAGUAGUAGUAGUGAUUGACAUGCAUUUACAGAGAGCUUUCUUCAGUCCACUCAUGGGUGGCAAUAAGAUUUAAUUAGCUGCCGACUCAUUCAUCCAAAUACUGAGUUAAAGGGCUAGCUGAGGAGGUUACCCAGUAAAUGAGUGAAUGAAGCGGGAGACAAAUUGAAUCUUAAGCUUCCUGUACUUGGACUGAAGGGAGCUCCCUUUACUGUUAUUUUAUCAAAUAAUAUAUAUGUUUUUCUUUUUCUUAGAUUCUUAACUUCUUCUCUACUUGCUUAUUCUCACAAUUUUAUAUUCUCAUGGCUGCCAAUGCUUUUGGUAUAAAGCACUUUGAUGCUCAUGAGGUAAUGCUAGAGAACCCUCAACUUAUCCGUUUUCUUUGAGCGAUCUUUAUCUAGCUUUUCUUAAACUUUUCUUCGAGCUUUGUUAUCUUGUUUGGUGACCUAGAAAGAGAACUGUACAUCUGGCUUAUUAUCUUCUGGGUAUUUCUGAUGCUUUUUUCUUAUGUAUUUUCGCUUCUGUCUGAUCUCCUUUUGCCUCGAAACAAUCAG
rnacentral:lncRNA from 1 species